GCGCGGGGGACGAGGAGGAACCAGCCUGAGAGGCUUCCUCACGCCAACAUUUUACCGGUAUUGAAUAUGUGAAAGUUCUAUAGCUAUCUAUCUUCAGUUUAGUAUGUAAUCAGAGCUGUUGAUACUUCUGGAUGUGGUAAUUGGAUGGGGCAUGGCUGAUGGUGAGAGAUAAGAGUUUUGGUUCCCCAUUCCAAGCAGUGCUCUAAUCUCACACAAAUAAAAUAGACACAGAGGCUCCUCUCUUCUAAAACCCAUGAUCCAAUGGAGGUUCCAGCAAAUAGACAAUUUCAACAAGAAUGGAUACCAGCUUUUUAUGGUGCCUGGCAGCAUGGUGUAUUGGGAAGAAUAUGGACUUUGGAUUCAGACAGUACUCAAAUCAGACCCAUUUUCUGCAAAAAUAAAAAUGCA